GGGCUCGUUGGAGGCCUUGGUCCUUGUCAGGGAGUUUGGGGGUCAGGCAGGGGUGGGCUUGGUGUGGUUGGCUGUGUUUCCUGAGGGGACCUCCGAGGCAGCAGUGGGGACAGCCGGGAGGGGCUGGACAGCUGGCAGUGGACACAGUGGACUGCGGCCUGGCCCUUGCCCCCCGAGUGGCUUGGACAGUGCCCUUCCUGGCUGCUCACCCAGGACCCAGGGGAGAGGGGCAGGUGUGACCAGGGCAGGGGGGCGGUGCCCAGGGUGCUGGCAGGAGCCCAGCUAAUUUUCCUGGGGAGAGGAGGAGGCCUGGGGGCCUGUUCUCUCCCGCCCCUGGGGCGGGCCCAACCCUCGGGGAUGGGAAGGGCGGGAGAGGCCUCCACCGCAGGCCAGCGAGGCAGGGAGGCGCCUUGCGGCUGAGCGCACCUGCCAACCGACCAGGGGCAGCAACCGCCUUCUCGGGCACGGGCCCUAGCCUGCAGCACACGUUCCUCCCAGCUCCACCCAGAGGGCCAACCCAGCAGCUGCCCCCUCCUCCCGACCCUGCAGUCAGGCUUUGGCCGCCUGUGGUCUUGGGGGGUGGGAGCUACUGAGCUGCAACCCGGGCCCAGCGCCACAGCCUGGGGAGGCGAGCGAGGACAUUUUGGCCUCUGGCGGCAGUGAAUGGUGCUGAGGCCCAGGCCCGGGAGGUUGGUGCCGCCCUGGUCGGGGCCUGGGGUUUGGGGGCAUCUUUUCCCGGGCUCCCAGUGGCAGGGGAGGCUAGGGCUGAGCUGGGGUUCACGCAGACGCAAGGGGCGGGGAGCAGCGUUGCAAGCUGAGGGCCUCUUUUCACAGUGUGCCAGUGUGAUCUCAUGUCACAGAAUCCUUCAUUCCCACCCCGACACUCACGCCUUCUUAGGAGGUAGCCCAAGACAAGGGGCAGCUGGUGUGCCUGCCCACCAGGGCUCCCCAAUCUCCCAUGAUGGCCCCCCUGGACCCCCCUUGGUGUGUGAGCAGCUGGGGGCAACGGUGACAGUGGACAGAGGGGCCUGCAUGUCAGAGUUCUGGACGCCGGUGUGCAGAGCCGGGGCAGAGGCCCGGGCCCGGGAGGCAGAGCGCACUCCCCGCAGCCUGGAGCAGGUUCUCAGGCCUCUGUGGGUGUCCCCGGGAGGCUGCUGCCCUCGGGAAGGGGCGCUCGGGCUGGCCAGGACGGAAGAACCGACCCCUUCUAAUUCCAGGCGGGCUGGGCCUCGGACGUCACCGAAGAGGCUUCUCCUCCAGGGCUGUGCGGAGCAGGCAGGCUUCCCGGGAGAGGCGUGGUCGUUGGGAUCGGACCCUGAAGGCUAAUGAUACGCACUCACAAGCGAUGGCGAGAGCUAAGAAGUAAGACGUUCCGAACGCCUGCAGUGUGUAAUGCAAGCGAACUUUGACGGUCGCAGAGCUUCCAGACCUGAAGGGCCACAGGUGUCAUGUAUUUCAGACUACGACACUGGUCUGCUUCAUAGGGGGAGGCCGGAGAGCGGGACGCGUGCUCUGCCAGGCCCGGGGACCCAGCUCCGGGCCUGCGCCCGCCCCGCAGCGCCCCCCAGCGGCCGGCAGCAGAGGCGCAGGAGCUGGGGAGGCCGCUCUGGUUCCCGUCGCCGACGGGGGCGCCCCGGGCGUGUGGCCCCUGAACCGGGGCGCCCGGUUCUCUGGACAGAGGAAGUGUGCCGUUUCGCCCCAGGACAGGGCGUAUUUCGGCUUCCUCAAACGCCGCCCGGCCCUCUGUGCCCCUCCACCGUGCACACCGAGGCGCCCAUUGACGCAGGCAGCCCCGGAGCCAGGCCGCCUUUCCUUCACAUUCCACCCGCCCCCACGCCGGAGCCCCUUCGUUGCAUAUAAAACAUAAAAGCAGGCAGGCGCGGUGCCCUCUCCCAAGCGCGCCCGCCACAUGGGCAGAGGCAGGCAGAGAGGGGUCCGAGUCUCCAGCCUGGGACGCGCCCUGCACACCCCGUCCCUACAGAAAGCCGAUACCCCGGGGUGGGUGCCCGGGAAGCUGCCCACACAGCCCUGCAAUUAGGGCGACAAUAGCAACAGCAGUGUUUGGAUGUUUUCUCUUUCACAGGGAGGGCACCCCCUUCGGCUUCCCGGAGCAGCAUGUGCAAACGAUUAAACCGGUUUGUUUUCUCUGGAGCACUCGGGAGGAAGUGACACUGACAUCCCGCGGUCUGAUGGCAGCGCCAGCGCCUCCGUGGGAACGGCCGGCAGUUUCUGAAGCUGGCGUUCCUGGGACUGGCCCCGCAGCCCCCGCCCAGUGUGGCCCCGUCCGCGGAGGCCACCCACCCCCACCCCAGAGGCUCGGCAUGGCGCCUCCCUCUGGGCUGAGAAGAAGAAUGCGGGAGGGCCGGGGCCGUGCCUCCAACCAGGUUGGCGUUUCUAGGGAGGGAAGAGGCCGCUCUUCCUGGCUGCCCACGAGGGCACCACUCUGAGCCCCCAGGGGCCGGCCCGACCCUCAGGUGGGGGAGGGAGGGGCAGGCUCUGUGCCAGGGAGGACGCUGCUCAGGCCAGGAUGCCCCUUAGCUCUCGCCUAGGUGGAAGGACAGGCCAGCAUCUUCCAGAAGCUUCCGUCAGAAAGGUCCUGCGUCCAGGGUCUCUUCCUCCUGGGCCUUCCUGUGUGUCUAAGCCAAAAGCCCACCUCAAACCUCCCCUCCUCCAUCAGCCUGUCACCCAGUCACCAACCCUUGUCCUUGCUGCCUCCCAGACAUCUCAGAGUGGGUGGCCCCAAUCCUCCCACUCUGUCCUUGUCAUGCCACUGCCCCUCCCGCCUGGACACCUGCCCCAGCCUCCGCGGGGCCCCUCUGCGUCCACUCCUAGCCCACAGUUCGUCCUCCACAUGGAGGCCAGGGGCCCUGUCCCCCCCGCCACCCAAGCAAAUCCCUCCACAGCUCCCCACAGGUGGGAUGAUGUCUGGACUUCCAGUCCCAGCCACAAGCCCACUCCAGCCGGCUCCAGUCCUCUCUCCCCACCGGCCCAGACAGACAGACAGCCUCUCCCUCGCCCCAGGACUGCACACGCUGCCCUCAGCCAGGAACACCGCGCCCUCCCUGUCUGGUGAACUCUUCGUCCUGCCGGGCACGGCUCCUCAGGAAGCCCGCCCAGAUGCCUCAGGCUAGCUCUGGGCCCCCUCUGGGCCCCCGCACAUCCCCUCGUAGCCUCAGCCCUGUGGCAUCGAAAUCGCUCCUUAGAGUUUUGCUGCCCUGGAAGAUGGCGCAUCCUUUGCGGCCCGGGACCCCGUGUCUCUCCCGGGCCCAGGGCGGGGCCUCGGUGCGCAGCAAGUGCUUGGUAACGUUCGUCCAGAGCCUGGGCAGCAAAGGGGGCCCAGGGAGCACUUACCCAUGUGACCACCAGCUCCCGGCCAGGCCCCCACAGUACCCCACUCUCCUGCUGGCCAGAGUCCUGCUGCUGGCUGGGAGGAAGCCACCCAUCCACCACACGAGACAGUCACACGGCCACCAGGCUGUCACCCACCCCCAGCUGCAUUUGCUCAUCUGAAGGGGGCAGUGCUCAACCCCCAAGAACGAGCUUUCCACGGCGGAUUCCGGGUGGACAUGGGAGGACGCUCAGGGGUGUGCUGGGGCGGUCCUCACGGCACUCUGGGUGCAGCCACUGUACCUUCUAAAUAAAACUGGGGCGUCCCUCACGCAAGGACAGAUAUUCAUGUGGCUUCCGCUUGUCUGACGCCAUCUAGAAGAUGCGGCCAUGGCUGGCACUACAGGGCACUGUGAAGUGACGCGGGCAGCGGGGAACACGGGAAAAUCAGCCACUCUCACAAACUGGACCCCAUCGAGGUAUGAUUGCUGUGCCGCCUGCCACCAGCUACCCCAAGGGCUGGGGUCUCACUCCCCACUCCCGGGGACAGGCAUCUAUGUGCUACCCUACCUCCUGGGGACUGGGCUUGGGGUUACUUUCAGCAGAGGGGCUGGUGUGCCCAUCAGAAGGGUGGCAUGGGGCCAGGCAGAGGGACUGACCUCAGGCCACCCCCCCAACCCUCAGUUUUCUGCAGGGCCCUCAGGAGUGAUGUCGUUGGCUGGGGCACACAUAUCUGCUGUCACCCCAGUUAC